rnacentral:ncRNA from 1 species
AUUAUGUUCCCUGGUUGGGUUUCCAGUUUCUUUAAAAAAUAAUUGCAAGUAUUAUUAAAUAUUAAAUAAUAAGUUUGAUUAUGCCUUAAAUAUUUAGUUUAAUAUAAUAAUUAUCAUGUAAUUUUUAUAAAAUAAAAUUUUAUCUUCAGUGAUUAAUAUUAUUAGGAAUAGUUAACUACUUAUAAAGAUUUAUAUAAAAAUUAUUGGUUAAAUUUGUGCCAGCAUCCGCGGUUAAACUAAUAAUAAUAAAUUAAAUUUUAUUAAUUAUAUAUAAUUUUAAUACUAUAAAUAAAACUAUUAUAAGUAAAAUUUUAAUUAAUAUUAAUUUUUAAAUUUAUAUGAAAAUAAAUUAUUAAAAUAGGAUUAGAUACCCUAGUAUAUAUUAUUGUAAAUUAAUAAUUGAAUUAUUAUUAGAAAUAAACUAUAAACUUAAAUAAUUUGGCGGUAAAUUAAUUUCUUAGAGGAACUUGUCAUAUAAUAGAUACUACCCUUUAAACCUUACCUUUAUUUAUUAAUUAGUCUAUAUGCCGCCGUUAUAAGGAUAUUCUUAUUGGAUAAAUUUCCUCAAUUAUUCAUUUAAAUAAUAUCAAGUCAAGGUGUAGCUAAUAUAAAGGAAAUAGAUGAGUUACAAUUUAUACACAUAUAUAAAUACAGAUUAAUAAUAGAAUUAUUAUUAUAAAGGUGGAUUUAAAAGUAAUUUUUAUAUUAAUAUGUCUUAAUGAAUUUAAUUUAAUUUAAGUACAUAUUGCCCGUCGCUCUCAUUAAAUAAAUUGGGAUAAGUCGUAACAUAGUAGGCCCACCUGAAGGUGGGCCUAGAUUGAAAU